rnacentral:tRNA from 1 species
GGUAAGGUGGCUGAGUAGGCGGUAGACUGUAAAUCUAUUCACGAGAGUAAUCUCCCUUAUCA